UCGAGGGGCAGCAUGAACUUAGCUUGCUAAGUUUGAUGGCGACCGGCGCACGGGUGAGUAACACGUAUCCAACCUGCCGAUGACUCGGGGAUAGCCUUUCGAAAGAAAGAUUAAUACCCGAUGGCAUAGUUCUUCCGCAUGGUAGAACUAUUAAAGAAUUUCGGUCAUCGAUGGGGAUGCGUUCCAUUAGGUUGUUGGCGGGGUAACGGCCCACCAAGCCUUCGAUGGAUAGGGGUUCUGAGAGGAAGGUCCCCCACAUUGGAACUGAGACACGGUCCAAACUCCUACGGGAGGCAGCAGUGAGGAAUAUUGGUCAAUGGACGAGAGUCUGAACCAGCCAAGUAGCGUGAAGGAUGACUGCCCUAUGGGUUGUAAACUUCUUUUAUACGGGAAUAAAGUGAGGCACGUGUGCCUUUUUGUAUGUACCGUAUGAAUAAGGAUCGGCUAACUCCGUGCCAGCAGCCGCGGUAAUACGGAGGAUCCGAGCGUUAUCCGGAUUUAUUGGGUUUAAAGGGAGCGUAGGCGGACACUUAAGUCAGUUGUGAAAGUUUGCGGCUCAACCGUAAAA
rnacentral:rRNA from 1 species